rnacentral:rRNA from 1 species
GACGAACGCUGGCGGCGUGCUUAACACAUGCAAGUCGAGCGGUAAGGCUCCUUCGGGAGUACACGAGCGGCGAACGGGUGAGUAACACGUGAGUAAUCUGCCCUUCACUUCGGGAUAACCGCCGGAAACGGUGGCUAAUACCGGAUACGACACAGUCCCGCAUGGGAUCUGAGUGGAAAGGUUUCUCGGUGGAGGAUGUGCUCGCGGCCUAUCAGCUUGUUGGUGAGGUAACGGCUCACCAAGGCUUCGACGGGUAGCCGGCCUGAGAGGGUGACCGGCCACACUGGGACUGAGACACGGCCCAGACUCCUACGGGAGGCAGCAGUGGGGAAUAUUGGACAAUGGGCGGAAGCCUGAUCCAGCAACGCCGCGUGAGGGAUGACGGCCUUCGGGUUGUAAACCUCUUUCAGUACCGACGAAGCGCCGAUGAUGGUGGUGACGGUAGGUACAGAAGAAGCACCGGCCAACUACGUGCCAGCAGCCGCCGUAAUAC